GAUGAACGCUGGCGGCGUGCCUAAUACAUGCAAGUCGAGCGAACAGACGAGGAGCUUGCUCCUCUGACGUUAGCGGCGGACGGGUGAGUAACACGUGGAUAACCUACCUAUAAGACUGGGAUAACUUCGGGAAACCGGAGCUAAUACCGGAUAAUAUAUUGAACCGCAUGGUUCAAUAGUGAAAGACGGUUUUGCUGUCACUUAUAGAUGGAUCCGCGCCGCAUUAGCUAGUUGGUAAGGUAACGGCUUACCAAGGCGACGAUGCGUAGCCGACCUGAGAGGUGGAUCGGGCACCCGGGAACGGAGACACGGUCCAGACGCCUACGGGAGGCAGCAGUAGGGAAUAUGUGGCAAUGGGCGAAAGUCUGAAAGAGUCACGAAGCGUGAGAGAUGAAGUGUUUCGGAUCGUAAAACUCUGUUAUUGGGGAAGAACAAAUGUGACAGUAACAAUGCACGGCUGGAAGGUACCUAAUCAGAAAGCAACGGCUAACUACGUG
rnacentral:rRNA from 1 species